UGUUAAAAAUUUCAUCUAUGUUUAUUGUUAAAAACUGGCAUGGUUAAUGAGAUAACCAAAAAGUGGCACGUAGCAUACUACUUGUAUCUCAUACUGAUGUACAUGAACCAAAUUUUAACGAUAGAAUUAGAUUGAAUUUUUAAUA
rfam:Gossypium hirsutum cultivar TM-1 unplaced genomic scaffold scaffold238.1, whole genome shotgun sequence